AACUUUCAACAACGGAUCUCUUGGUUCUGGCAUCGAUGAANAACGCAGCGAAAUGCGAUAAGUAAUGUGAAUUGCAGAAUUCAGUGAAUCAUCGAAUCUUUGAACGCACAUUGCGCCCGCCAGUAUUCUGGCGGGCAUGCCUGUUCGAGCGUCA
rnacentral:rRNA from 1 species